rnacentral:lncRNA from 10 species
CAGGGGAUUGCAGUGGCAAAGCUAGGCUAGGUCUUGGAGGCUGGUGUAAGGCGAUGUGGGUGAAGGCAGGAGGCUGAUGGAAAGACUGGGGGGAAGAAAAGCCGAAAUGGAUUCACGGUGCCUUGGAUGAAGGACGAGAGGGGAACUGCAAGCUCCUUCAACUGGUUCUGUCCGGUGAGAAGUGAUCAAGCUUGGGCUGACAAGAGGCUCAGGGAGCCCUCACGUUCUUUCGCUUUUUUACCUGCCAAUCAAACUGCUACAAGACAACACCCUGAUCUGGCAUGGACAUUCAUUGCAGUCACCUGGAGUCACGGAAAUGACCAUGAUUGCCUGAACUUUCAUGACUUCUGUGGAUAACUGUGGUUGCAGAAAAGAGAAAACCUGGACCGUGAGGGACAUUUCACUCCCUGGGCUUUGCCUUGGUUGUUUACUUGUAUCUAAGACAGAGGUGUCCAAUAUUUUGGCUUCCCUGGGCCACAAUGGAAGAAGAAUAGUCUUGGGCCACACAUAAAAUACACUAAUGCUAACAAUAGCUGAUGAGCUAAAAAAUAAAAAUAAAAAUACGCCGGGCACGGUGGCCCACACCUGGAAUCCCAGCACUUUGGGACGACGAGGCAGGCGGAUCACAA